rnacentral:rRNA from 1 species
CAUGGUAUGCACUGGCUCGCUGACUCCUCCUUCUUGUAGAACCGUAAUGCCAUUAAUUUGGUGUUGCGGGGAAACAGGACUGUUACUUUGAAAAAAUUAGAGUGUUUAAAGCAGGCCAACGCCUGAAUACAUUAGCAUGGAAUAAUGAAAUAGGACGUUUGAUCCUAUUUUGUUGGUUUCUAGGAUUGACGUAAUGAUUAAUAGGGAUAGUUGGGGGCAUUAGUAUUCAAUUGUCAGAGGUGAAAUUCUUGGAUUUAUUGAAGACUGACUACUGCGAAAGCAUUUGCCAAGGAUGUUUUCAUUAAUCAAGAACGAAAGUUAGGGGAUCGAAGACGAUCAGAUACCGUCGUAGUCUUAACCAUAAACUAUGCCGACUAGGGAUCGGAUGAUGUUAAUUUUUUAAUGACUCAUUCGGCGCCUUACG